AGAUUUACCAAUCAAAACAGAAAUGUUCCUUUUAUUGCUAAUUUCAAAUUGUACCUAGAUGAAGUACACAACUUUCUUUAUGGUUGAAAGAUAAAAGUAAAAGACACAGUUUCAAAACUAAUUUAAGGUCAUCUGUUUUUUCUUUUUUAUUUCUAGCACUUUAAUUUCAAUUUAUAAUUACUCAAGACUCGUUGUCUUGAGAUGGCUGAGUCCUUUAAACAGUGGUUGGAGGCAGGGAAAGACCUGGCAGACGAGUUGUCAUCAAAAGUACCCCCAACGAAAAAAAAAGCGCAAGACAGCAGGGGGCUCAAAUGUUACCUGGAGGAAGCGGGAACAGGAUGGGACGAUUAUACCGCAACGUAUGAGAAAAACUCAAUCUGUUAAAUCUGGCCACACUAGUCAGUUUUCAGAAGCUGAGGUGUCACAGACUGAUGAUGAUCCUCCAGAGCACCCAAAUCUUGAGCAACAUCUUCAGGAACUCAGGGAUCUUGUGAACUCUGUCAUUGUUCCUGCAUCAGUCCAAGUGGAGGAGACACCUGCCAUGUCUACAUGGACUAAAAGACAGUCCGCUGUUGAAAAAAAGUUCCGAACUGCAGUGCCAGAGCUGUUGGAUGGCAAAUUUGCCGCUGAGACAGUAACAGAGCAUCGCUGUCAUUUAUGCAAAACAGCUGGGGCAGUGAUCCGGUGCCUGGGCUGCGUUGCUUCAGGAACUCAGUAUCUCUGUCCAGCAUGCGAUUCAGCAGUCCACCAGAAACAUGUUGUCACUUUCUGUGACUGUUUUUAACCCAUAAGAAGAUUAAGUUUUAGGUCCAUACAGCCUCUAUCUGCUGCUGUGUGCUGUCCCCUUUGUUCCUCCAAAUGGACCCCAGGGAUGAGUGAUUUCCUUGGCCUCAAAUAUUGGCCAGCAACCCCAAGCUUCCAGUCGCUGUUCAAAUUUGAUGUGUUCACAUCAUUUCAGCAGAUGAAGUUAGACAGCCCAGCUUUAUCACAGCAAGCGUUUAUCAGAAUGCUUGAACAUCGAGCCCUUAGUAC